GACGUAGGAGGCGAGCGUUGUCCGGAUUCAUUGGGCGUAAAGAGCGCGCAGGCGGCUUGGUAAGUCGGAUGUGAAAUCCCGAGGCUCAACCUCGGGUCUGCAUCCGAUACUGCCCGGCUAGAGGUAGGUAGGGGAGAUCGGAAUUCCUGGUGUGAGCGGUGGAAAUGACGCAGAUAUCAGGAGGAACACCGGUGGCGAAGGCGGAUCUCUGGGCCUUACCUGACGCUCAGGCGCGAAAGCUAGGGGAGCGAACUGG
rnacentral:rRNA from 1 species